UAUUAUUUUAAUAUAUUUCUUUUUUUUUUGUUACCCUUGUUACACCUCUUUCCAUUAUGUAACCCCAUCUCAAAUAAUCAUACUAUUUAGUUUAUGUAAGUGAAUGUAAAAGGAAAAAAGUGUCUCUCCAUUAUUCUCCAAAUCUAUCUGUAUAUUCAGGUUGAAGAACUUCGGUUAUUCAGAAAAGGAAACAUUGAAGCUGAAAAUUUGAAGAAAGGUUUUUUGAAUGGAGCUAGAUCAAAUAUUUACAAUUUUUCAAGGAUCUCACAAUAGUGAAAGUCAUGUCAGUCCGAUUGAGGAUUUAGGUGAUAUAUCUGUUUCGGAUAAUGGUAGUUUGUCAUCAAAAGAAGACGUCAGAGACAAUAACAACGAUGCUGGUGGUUGCAUUUUUUACGAUGAAAUUGCAGUUAAUUGUGUGUCUGAUCUAGAGAAAAUAUAUUUCAAAGAAACUUGUUCUAAACAAAUAAUGCAAUACCAUUUUCCAUAUCACGAAGUUGCGUUUAUGUUUUACAAUUGGUAUGGAUGUCUCCAUAGAUUUGCUGGUAGGAAGAGUAAGAUUGUAAGGAAUGUCAAUGGUGAAAUAAUUCAACAAACAUUUCUCUGACAUAUAAAAGGUAAUAGAGAUGACAAAUACAACAAUUCUGCAGUUAGAAACCAAAAACAUAAACCAACUAGCAGAUGUGGUUGUUUGGCAAGAAUCCAAGUACACGUUGACUUCAACAUUAAACGUUGGUAUAUUGAAUUUUUUGAUGAUGUCCAUAACUAUACAUUUGUAGAUGACAAGUAUGAGUGGAUACUUCCAGCACACAGGAAGAUGAGUGAAUACGACAAAUACUAAAUGAAGACCAUGAGGAAAUUUGGCAUUCCAACCUCCCACAUUUAUGGUUUUUUUUCAAGCCAUGCAGGAUGAUAUGCAAAGCUUGGUUACUCUAUGAGAGACAUGCACACUGAACUAUUCAAACAAAGGGGUUCAAGGCAGUCAUAUGCCGAAGGGGCACCUGAAUUCCUGAAGAGAAUGUCAUAUAGGGAUGACAUCAUGUUCUGGAGACUUGCAGUCAAAGAAGAUGGAAUGCUUGAACAUAUGUUUUUAUGUGACAGUAUAAGACGCAUUGACUACUCUACUUUUGGGGAUGUCUUGGAUUUCGAUGCCACAUAUAGGAAAAUAAGAUAUAAUACCCCGCUAGUGAUAUUUUCAGGAGUCAAUCUUCACAAUCAGAGCAUAAUAUUUGCAAGUGCAAUAGUAUGUGAUGAAAUUGAAGAAACAUAUGUUUGUCUUUUUGAGACGUUUGUGGAAGUUAUGGGUGACAAGUAUCCUUUAUAUGUUAUAAAUGACAGUGAUUUAACCGUGAGAAAUGCGAUCAAAAAGGUUUUUCCAAAUGCUCACCGUCGUUUAUAUGCUUGGCAUUUGUUACGGAACGCCACUAGUAACAUUAAGAAUUCAAAAAUUGUAUCCAAGUUUAAGCAAUGCAUGUUGGGAGAUUUUUAUGUUGAUGAGUUUGAGUCAAAAUGGAAUAUAAUAAUUAAUGAGUUUUAACUACAGGAGAAUAGUUUGAUACACGAGUUAUAUGAAAAGCGGGGUAUAUGGGCUACUGCCCACAUACGAGGGAAGUUUUUUGCUGGAUUUUGGACCACCUCACUCUGAAUUUGGUAAAUAUAUAUUUGUUUUGUCUAAUUUUGUCGAUUUUUUGCAACAAUUAUUUUGGUGGGUGAAUUACAUAAGGUAUAAAGAAAUUGAAGCAAAUUUUGAGUCAUCCUAUGGCAAUACAAUUUUACAAACUCAACUCAAGUGUUUGGAGGAGUCUGCGGCGAAUUCUUACACCAGGUCGACUUUUAAGAUGUUUAGACCAGUUUUGGAUAGAGCAUGCCGGUGCAAGAUUGAGAAGGUAACAAAGGAAGGAUCAAUUUUUUCAUAUAUCGUCACGAAGUAUGUGAGGCCAAAUAUUGAAUGGGUCAUGGAACUUUAUGAAGAAAAUUUACAAUUUAAUUGCUCUUGCAAAAGAUUUCAAACUUUGGGAAUUAUAUGCAAACAUUUGAUAGUUGUUUUGAUAUACAUGAGCAUAGUCAACAUUCCUGAAUCGUUGCUAUUAAAGAGGUGGAAGAAAAGUGUGAAGGAUGAGGUAAAUGCGUUUAAUGAAAAUUUGGCAAGUAUGAGGGAUCCCACAUUUGCAACGACAUAUGUUACAUUUGUUGAGCAUUAUAAUAGAAUGGUUAACGCGGCUCUUGCGUGUGGUAGCCCGGAACACUUAGAACCCACAAUAGAAAUGGUUGAAAAACAGACGAAUGUUUUAUAAGCAGUUGGUGGAAGUGAAGUUGGUUUGAACUGUGACAUUGGUAUAUUAUGACAAACGAGUUUAGGUAAUCUGCCACGUAUUAGGAAGAGAAGUGGUGUGUGUGCGAGUAUAUCGCAACAAGGAAAAAUGACUGAAAAUUCAAAGAGAAAAAGUACUAGAAGGUGUGGAAAAUAUGGAAGAACAAGUCAUAAUUGUGCGUCAUGUAAGGUAGUUCGAGAGUCGUAAACCUAUGACAAGUCAUAUGGAUAUGCAAAUGUUGACAUCAAUGACGACAAUGAAGAGUUUAACGUUGUGAUGGUAUGUAUGGCAACUCGUUUUUAAUAAUUGACCCAUGUUGAUUUGUUCAUAUGGUAACAAAAUCUGUUAAAUAAAUGCAGACUACAAUGUGAUGCUGGUUUGAAUAAGAUGGUAACGUUGUUGCUGCUACUAUAUGGAAGUUUGUUGGUGAUGUUGUGUGGAUGUGGGUGUAAUUGAAAAUUAAGAAUGUUUUUUUGAUUUUUUAAUUUUAUUGAGGAUGAAUAUGAAUAUUAUGUGUGGAAUAUUUUGUACGCCGAUGAAUAUUUUGUACGA